AUUGAACGCUGGCGGCAUGCCUUACACAUGCAAGUCGAACGGUAACAGGUCUUCGGAUGCUGACGAGUGGCGAACGGGUGAGUAAUACAUCGGAACGUGCCUAGUAGUGGGGGAUAACUACUCGAAAGAGUGGCUAAUACCGCAUGAGAUCUACGGAUGAAAGCAGGGGAUCGCAAGACCUUGUGCUACUAGAGCGGCCGAUGGCGGAUUAGGUAGUUGGUGGGAUAAAAGCUUACCAAGCCGACGAUCUGUAGCUGGUCUGAGAGGACGAUCAGCCACACAGGGACUGAGACACGGCCCAGACUCCUACGGGAGGCAGCAGUGGGGAAUUUUGGACAAUGGGCGAAAGCCUGAUCCAGCAAUGCCGCGUGCAGGAUGAAGGCCUUCGGGUUGUAAACUGCUUUUGUACGGAACGAAAAGCCCCGGGUUAAUACCCUGGGGUCAUGACGGUACCGUAAGAAUAAGCACCGGCUAACUACGUGCCAGCCGCCGCGGUAA
rnacentral:rRNA from 1 species